rnacentral:rRNA from 1 species
GAUGAACGCUGGCGGCGUGCCUAAUACAUGCAAGUCGAGCGAACGGACGAGAAGCUUGCUUCUCUGAUGUUAGCGGCGGACGGGUGAGUAACACGUGGAUAACCUACCUAUAAGACUGGGAUAACUUCGGGAAACCGGAGCUAAUACCGGAUAAUAUUUUGAACCGCAUGGUUCAAAAGUGAAAGACGGUCUUGCUGUCACUUAUAGAUGGAUCCGCGCUGCAUUAGCUAGUUGGUAAGGUAACGGCUUACCAAGGCAACGAUGCAUAGCCGACCUGAGAGGGUGAUCGGCCACACUGGAACUGAGACACGGUCCAGACUCCUACGGGAGGCAGCAGUAGGGAAUCUUCCGCAAUGGGCGAAAGCCUGACGGAGCAACGCCGCGUGAGUGAUGAAGGUCUUCGGAUCGUAAAACUCUGUUAUCAGGGAAGAACAUAUGUGUAAGUAACUGUGCACAUCUUGACGGUACCUAAUCAGAAAGCCACGGCUAACUACGUGCCAGCAGCCGCGGUAAUACGUAGGUGGCAAGCGUUAUCCGGAAUUAUUGGGCGUAAAGCGCGCGUAGGCGGUUUUUUAAGUCUGAUGUGAAAGCCCACGGCUCAACCGUGGAGGGUCAUUGGAAACUGGAAAACUUGAGUGCAGAAGAGGAAAGUGGAAUUCCAUGUGUAGCGGUGAAAUGCGCAGAGAUAUGGAGGAACACCAGUGGCGAAGGCGACUUUCUGGUCUGUAACUGACGCUGAUGUGCGAAAGCGUGGGGAUCAAACAGGAUUAGAUACCCUGGUAGUCCACGCCGUAAACGAUGAGUGCUAAGUGUUAGGGGGUUUCCGCCCCUUAGUGCUGCAGCUAACGCAUUAAGCACUCCGCCUGGGGAGUACGACCGCAAGGUUGAAACUCAAAGGAAUUGACGGGGACCCGCACAAGCGGUGGAGCAUGUGGUUUAAUUCGAAGCAACGCGAAGAACCUUACCAAAUCUUGACAUCCUUUGACAACUCUAGAGAUAGAGCUUUCCCCUUCGGGGGACAAAGUGACAGGUGGUGCAUGGUUGUCGUCAGCUCGCGUCGUGAGAUGUUGGGUUAAGUCCCGCAACGAGCGCAACCCUUAAGCUUAGUUGCCAUCAUUAAGUUGGGCACUCUAAGUUGACUGCCGGUGACAAACCGGAGGAAGGUGGGGAUGACGUCAAAUCAUCAUGCCCCUUAUGAUUUGGGCUACACACGUGCUACAAUGGACAAUACAAAGGGCAGCGAAACCGCGAGGUCAAGCAAAUCCCAUAAAGUUGUUCUCAGUUCGGAUUGUAGUCUGCAACUCGACUACAUGAAGCUGGAAUCGCUAGUAAUCGUAGAUCAGCAUGCUACGGUGAAUACGUUCCCGGGUCU